rnacentral:rRNA from 1 species
GACGAACGCUGGCGGCGUGCUUAACACAUGCAAGUCGAACGGAAAGGCCCUGCUUGCAGGGUACUCGAGUGGCGAACGGGUGAGUAACACGUGGGUGAUCUGCCCUGCACUUCGGGAUAAGCCUGGGAAACUGGGUCUAAUAUCGGAUAGGAGCCAUUCUUAGUGUGAUGGUUGGAAAGUUUUUUUCGGUGUAGGAUGAGCUCGCGGCCUAUCAGCUUGUUGGUGGGGUAAUGGCCUACCAAGGCGGCGAUGGGUAGCCGGCCUGGGAGGGUGGACGGCCACAUUGGGGCUGGGAUACGGCCCAGACUCCUACGGGGGGCAGCAAUUGGGAAUAUUGCACAAUGGGGGCAAGCCUGAUGCAGCGACGCCGCGUGGGGGAUGACGGGCUUCGGGUUGUAAACUCCUUUCGCUAGGGACGAAGCUUUUUGUGACGGUACCUAGAUAAGAAGCACCGGCUAACUACGUG